UGGCUCAGAACGACGCUGGCGGCGCGCCUAAUACAUGCAAGUCGAGCGAGAAGGUGUAGCAAUACACUUGUAAAGCGGCGAACGGGUGAGGAAUACAUGGGUAAUCUACCAUCGAGUGGGGAAUAACCAGCCGAAAGGUUGGCUAAUACCGCGUACGCUUCCGAGUCUUCGGGCUUGGAAGGAAAGCCGCACUGUGAGUGCGGCGCUCUUUGAUGAGCUCAUGUCCUAUCAGCUUGUUGGUAGGGUAACGGCCUACCAAGGCUUUGACGGGUAGCUGGUCUGAGAGGACGAUCAGCCACACUGGCACUGCGACGCGGGCCAGACUCCUACGGGAGGCAGCAGUAAGGAAUAUUGCGCAAUAGGCGAAAGCCUGACGCAGCGACGCCGCGUGGGGGAUGAAGGUCUUCGGAUUGUAAACCCCUUUCGGGAGGGAAGAUGGAGCGAGCAAUCGUUCGGACGGUACCUCCAGAAGCAGCCACGGCCAACUUCGUG
rnacentral:rRNA from 1 species